rnacentral:lncRNA from 1 species
AUAAUGACAUGUAUCCACGGUUACAAUUCAUCCACAGUAUUUUCACUGCCCUAAAAAUUCUCUGUGCUCCACCUAUUCUCCCUCUCUACCCCGGUCCUUGGCAACUGCUGAUCUUUUUCUUGCCUCCUUCAUUCCAAAGUGAUUUUGAUGUCUGCCACCAAUGAUAUAGAAGGAUUUCGCUUUGCUCUGAACAUUUUCCUCUAGAAGCUUUAUAGUUUUAACUUUGAUGUUUAGACUUGCCAUCUAUCUCAAAUUAAUUCUUGUGCAUAAUUUGAAAAAAGGGGUCAAGGUUAUUUUUGAUGUAGAUAUCUAGUUUCCCCACUUCCGUUUGUUGGAAACAUUUACCUUUCCUCCAUUAAAUUCCUUUGACAAGUGAGAUGAAAUCUUAAGAGUGGUUUUGAUUUGCAUUUCUCUAAUUGCUAGAGAUGAUGAACAUUUUUUUCAUAUAUUUGUUGAUUGAUUCUAUAUCCUCUUGUGGGAAGUGUCUGUUCAGGUCCUUGGCUGAUUUGUUGAUUGGGUUAUUUGUGUUUUUGGUGCUUAGCUUUUUGAGUUCUUUGUAUAUCCUAGAGAUUAGUGCUCUAUCUGAUGUGUGAGGGGUAAAAAAUUUGCUCCUAGGAUAUAGGCUGUCUGUUCACCUCACAGAUUGUUUCUUUUGCUGAGAAGAAACUUUUUAGUUUGAUUCCAUCCCAUUUAUUGAUUCUUGGUUUUAAUUCUUGUGCUAUAUGAGUCUUAUUAAGGAAUUUAGGGCCUAAUCCCACAUGAUGAAGAUUUCAUUUCACUCCAGUCAGAAUGGCAGUUAUUAUGAAGAUAAACAACAAUAAGUGUUGGCGAGGAUGUGGGGAGAAAGGUACACUCAUACAUUGCUGGUGGGACUGCAAAUUGGUACAGACAAUAUGGAAAGCAGUAUGGAGAUUCCUUGGAAAUCUGGAAAUGGAACCACCAUUUGACCCAGCUAUCCCUCUCCUACCCAAAAGACUUAAAAACAGCAUACUACAGGGACACAGCCACAUCAAUGUUUAUAGCAGUACAAUUCACAAUAGCUAAACUGUGGAGCCAACCUAGAUGCCCUUCAGUGGAUGAAUG